rnacentral:rRNA from 1 species
AUUGAACGCUGGCGGCAGGCUUAACACAUGCAAGUCGAGCGGAGAUGAGGUGCUUGCACCUUAUCUUAGCGGCGGACGGGUGAGUAAUGCUUAGGAAUCUGCCCAUUAGUGGGGGACAACAUUCCGAAAGGAAUGCUAAUACCGCAUACGUCCUACGGGAGAAAGCAGGGGAUCUUCGGACCUUGCGCUAAUAGAUGAGCCUAAGUCGGAUUAGCUAGUUGGUGGGGUAAAGGCCUACCAAGGCGACGAUCUGUAGCGGGUCUGAGAGGAUGAUCCGUCACACUGGGACUGAGACACGGCCCAGUCUCCUACGGGAGGCAGCAGUGGGGAAUAUUGGACAAUGGGGGGAACCCUGAUCCAGCCAUGCCGCGUGUGUGAAGAAGGCCUUAUGGUUGUAAAGCACUUUAAGCGAGGAGGAGGCUACUGAGACUAAUACUCUUGGAUAGUGGACGUUACUCGCAGAAUAAGCACCGGCUAACUCUGUGCCAGCAGCCGCCGCAG